GGGAAUUCGAUUCAGGCCUAACACAUGCAAGUCGAGCGAUGAAGCACAUUCGGGUGUGGAUUAGCGGCGAACGAGUGAGGAACACGUGAGGAAUCUGCCUUCCACUCUGGGAUAACUCCGGGAAACCGGGGCUAAUACCGGAUACUUUCAACUGGCGGCAUCGCCGGUUGAAGAAAGUUUUUCGGUGGAAGAUGACCUCGCGGCCUAUCAGCUUGUUGGUGAGGUAAUGGCUCACCAAGGCAACGACGGGUAGCCGGCCUGAGAGGGCGACCGGCCACACUGGGACUGAGACACGGCCCAGACUCCUACGGGAGGCAGCAGUGGGGAAUAUUGGGCAAUAGAGGAAACUCUGACCCAGCGACGCCGCGUGAGGGAUAUAUACGGUCGGGUUGUAAACCUCUUCAGCAGGGAAUAAGCGAAAGGAA
rnacentral:rRNA from 1 species